ACACGGCCCAAACUCCUACGGGAGGCAGCAGUAGGGAAUCUUCGGCAAUGGACGAAAGUCUGACCGAGCAACGCCGCGUGAGUGAAGAAGGUUUUCGGAUCGUAAAACUCUGUUGUUAGAGAAGAACAAGGAUGAGAGUAACUGUUCAUCCCUUGACGGUAUCUAACCAGAAAGCCACGGCUAACUACGUGCCAGCAGCCGCGGUAAUACGUAGGUGGCAAGCGUUGUCCGGAUUUAUUGGGCGUAAAGCGAGCGCAGGCGGUUUCUUAAGUCUGAUGUGAAAGCCCCCGGCUCAACCGGGGAGGGUCAUUGGAAACUGGGAGACUUGAGUGCAGAAGAGGAGAGUGGAAUUCCAUGUGUAGCGGUGAAAUGCGUAGAUAUAUGGAGGAACACCAGUGGCGAAGGCGGCUCUCUGGUCUGUAACUGACGCUGAGGCUCGAAAGCGUGGGGAGCAAACAGGAUUAGAUACCCUGGUAGUCCACGCCGUAAACGAUGAGUGCUAAGUGUUGGAGGGUUUCCGCCCUUCAGUGCUGCAGCUAACGCAUUAAGCACUCCGCCUGGGGAGUACGACCGCAAGGUUGAAACUCAAAGGAAUUGACGGGGGCCCGCACAAGCGGUGGAGCAUGUGGUUUAAUUCGAAGCAACGCGAAGAACCUUACCAGGUCUUGACAUCCUUUGACCACUCUAGAGAUAGAGCUUCCCCUUCGGGGGCAAAGUGACAGGUGGUGCAUGGUUGUCGUCAGCUCGUGUCGUGAGAUGUUGGGUUAAGUCCCGCAACGAGCGCAACCCUUAUUGUUAGUUGCCAUCAUUCAGUUGGGCACUCUAGCAAGACUGCCGGUGACAAACCGGAGGAAGGUGGGGAUGACGUCAAAUCAUCAUGCCCCUUAUGACCUGGGCUACACACGUGCUACAAUGGGAAGUACAACGAGUUGCGAAGUCGCGAGGCUAAGCUAAUCUCUUAAAGCUUCUCUCAGUUCGGAUUGCAGGCUGCAACUCGCCUGCAUGAAGCCGGAAUCGCUAGUAAUCGCGGAUCAGCACGCCGCGGUGAAUACGUUCCCGGGCCUUGUACACACCGCCCGUCACACCACGAGAGUUUGUAACACCCG
rnacentral:rRNA from 1 species